rnacentral:rRNA from 1 species
AAUCAACGCUGGCGGCGUGCCUAACACAUGCAAGUCGAACGCGAAAGCCCCGCAAGGGGUCAGUAGAGUGGCAAACGGGUGAGUAACACGUGGGUGACCUGCCUUCGAGUGGGGGAUAACGUCCCGAAAGGGACGCUAAUACCGCAUGACAUCCUGCUUUUGAAAAAGCGGAGAUCAAAGCUGGGGAUCGCAAGACCUAGCGCUUGAAGAGGGGCCCGCGCCUGAUUAGCUAGUUGGUGAGGUAACGGCUCACCAAGGCGACGAUCAGUAUCCGGCCUGAGAGGGCGGACGGACACACUGGGACUGGGACACGGCCCAGACUCCUACGGGAGGCAGCAGUGGGGAAUUGUUCGCAAUGGGCGCAAGCCUGACGACGCAACGCCGCGUGGAGGACGAAGAUCUUCGGGUCGUAAACUCCUGUCGAGCGGGACGAACGCUUCGCGGAUGAAUAAUCCGCGGAAUUGACGGUACCGCUAAAGGAAGCCCCGGCUAACUCCGUG